rnacentral:rRNA from 1 species
UACGGGGGGGGCAAGCGUUGUCCGGAUUUAUUGGGCGUAAAGAGCGUGUAGGCGGCCUGACAGGUCUGCUGUGAAAACUCGAGGCUCAACCUCGAGAUGUCGGCGGAAACCGUCUGGCUAGAGUCCGGAAGAGGAGAGUGGAAUUCCUGGUGUAGCGGUGGAAUGCGCAGAUAUCAGGAGGAACACCAACGGCGAAGGCAGCUCGCUGGGACGGUACUGACGCUGAGGCGCGAAAGCGUGGGGAGCGAACAGG